AAACUUACCUGGAAUGAGAGGUAACAGAAUCACAAAGGUGUUUUUCUCAGAGAGAGUCUCAUUCAUUGCACUAAGAUGUGCUGUCCCCUACUAUGUCCCCAAAUGUGGGAAACUCAGACAGCAAAAUGUGUGGUGGCAAGAGACUGCAUUCACUUCCUCCUA